UGUCCCCGGUCUGCUGAGAGCACCAAGGGAAAUAAACCAUGCCUGUUUUCUUCAUCUCUGUAGUUGCAGCACCAACGGGGAAGUGCGUCACUGGGGCCAGGGUGUUUUCAUGAGGCCCUCUUUUCUGCUGCUCCAGGUCCCUCUGCAGGCUGCUCUCAUGGCCAGGAAGGAAUUCUCCAUGGCUCCUUUCCUCUCUCCCCCAUUAUUCUCGUAGAAAUCGGAGUCUAGCACUGGUGAAUCUGAUUGGCUUGACCUAGGCCUGCAUCCUAGCUUAAAAGAUGCUGGGAAGUUGAGUUCUGAUUUUUAGAAUGGAGAGGCAAGACUCACGACCUGGACAUUUCCAUAAAUAUAAAGAAAAAUAUUCAAAUGAUAUUUGAAGGUCACAAAUAUGUAAGAUGCCCUCUUUACUGCAAAACAGCCCCCUCUAUAAGCAGCGUCUAUGUGAAGUGGUUUCCUAGCUCAAUGCAAUGUGCCUACUGGGUUCUGAAUAAAUCCUUGUUGAGUGGAUCGCACUAGGAAAUUUAUAUUUUAAUUCAAACGUUCUGUAACUGCUGCUUAUAACAAGCACUGACUCCUUUCUUAAUCUCAAAGUUGUUAUAAGCAGGUACCCUUGAAAUAAACAGGUUAACUAGUGGUUUGUUUCAUAAAGGUCUAAACCACUGUGUACAAUGAAGGGCUUUUAAAAAUGCUAUGUUUUUUGCCAGGUAAAAAUUCGAUUAAGAAUUCAAACUAGCAAAAGAUGAUGCUAUUUUGCCCCAAAGAGAGUGGUUUCCUGGGUUUUAUGUCAUCUUGCUUUGCAACGUGUAGCCAAUUCUUCAGGGGUUUCAGAGAGAAAAAUCACAUGCCAGAUUCUGGAGUCAUAGUGACAUCUGGCGAAGAAAGGAGGGUCGCUCAGACAGUGAGUCCCCAUGAUCACAGUGUGUGUGGGUACUAGACCUAGCCAAAAAAACAAAACCAAACAAAUAGUAUGCAAUAAGUUAUGGACUCUUGUACAUUGUAAUGGAGCGAAUUCCUCAAAAGCUUAUGUUGUAUUAUAUAUUACUGUAUUAAUCUCUAAAUACACAGUCACUCAUUUAUUCAUGCACUGAUUUAUUCAUUAGUUAACAUAUGUUAAACACAUACUUCCCCGUUGGUGCUGCAACUGCAGAGAUGAAGAAAACAGGCAUGGUUUAUUUCCCUUGGUGCUCUCAGUUGAACAGGGACACAGAAUGCAAAAGGGAAUGUACCAGGGAGGUGUAGAAAGCUGUUUUAGGGGGUAGGGGAUGCUGCUCUUGUCUGCGAGAUGGGUGUGUUUAAGGAAAGCUUGCGUCUCAGUCCGUCUAUGCUGUGACAACUGAAGUCCUGGGUCUGGAUGAUUUAUAAACAAUAGAAAUGUAUUCCUGACAAUUCUGGAGGCUGGGAAAUCCAAGAUCAAGGCACCUGUAGGUUUGGUGGCUGGUGAGAGGUCCAGUUUCUCCUUCUAAGAUGCCACCUUGUUGCUAUGUGCUCUGUAGGGCAGAAUGCCGUCCUGACAUGGUAGAAGAGCAGAAGAGAAUGAACCCUGAUACGGUUGGGCUAUGUCCUCACUCAAAAUCUCAUCUUGAAUUGUAAUCCCCAUAAUCCCCAUGUGUCAAGGGAAAAACCAGGUGGAGGUAACUGAAUCAUGGGGGUGGUUUCCCCUACUCUGUUGUCGUGAUAGUGAGUUCUCACGAGAUCUGAUGGCUUUAUAAGUGUUGGGUCGUUCUUCCUGCAUUCAUUCUCCCCUUUGCUGCCCUGUGAAGAAGGUGCCUUGCUUUCCCUUUGCCUCCCGUCAUGAUUGUAAGUUUCCUGAGGUUUCCCCAGCCAUACAGAACUGUGAGUCAAUUAAACCUAUUUCUUUUUAAAAUUACCCAGACUUGGGCAGUUCUUUAUAGCAGUGGGAGAAUGGACUAGCACAAACCCAUUCCCUCAAGCCCUUCUAGAAAGGACCCAACCCCACUAUUGAGGGUUCUAUCCUGAGACUUAAAAGGCCCCCACCUCAUAAUCUGACCAUGUUGCCCAUUACAUUUCAACAUGUGAAUUCUGGAGGAUACAUUCAGAUCAUAGCAGCUUCCUAGAUGGAGUAACAUAGACGCUGAGUCUUGAGGAUGGGUAGAAGGUAGCUGGGUGAACAAUAGGAAAAAGGCAUUGUAGGCAGCAGGAAAAGCAAGUGCAAAGGCCCUGAGGCUGGAGGGAGUGUGUAGCAUCCACAGGAUGGAGGCCCAAGGGAGUGGAGCACAGUGAGGGAGGGGAAAGAUGGUGGGAAAUAAGGUCAGGGAGGGAGGCUAGGCCCUGGUAAGAAAUUUAAGUGCAGCGGGCAGACAAUGAAACGUUUCACACAGAGUUAUGGAAAAACCAUUUGCAAAAUUGUUUAGCUAAAUACAAACUGGAGAUACUUUACAUUAUCCAGCACAA